UACGAAGGGGGCUAGCGUUGUUCGGAUUUACUGGGCGUAAAGCGCGUGUAGGCGGGUCGUUAAGUUGGGGGUGAAAUCCCGAGGCUGAACCUCGGGACUGCCUUCAAAACUGGCGACCUGGACUCAAGUAGAGGCAAGUGGAAGUGCGAGUGUAGAGGUGAAAUUCGUAGAUAUUCGCGGGAACUCCAGUGGCGAAGGCGACUUGCUGGACUUGUAGGGACGCUGAGACGCGAAAGCGUGGUGAGCAAGCAGG
rnacentral:rRNA from 1 species